rnacentral:lncRNA from 1 species
GGAACUUUGCUAGAAGAUGCUGGGGAAGACGGGGCCCCGUUCCAUGAUGUCCGACUGUGUCCUCCAGGGUAUGAGGCCGACCUUCCCACCCCCGAUGCCACCGGUCAAGCCUGGGGCUGGAGGGGCCAACCCUGGACCCACGCAGGGCGCCGUGGGUCCGAAGGCUGCUCUGAAGCCCCCCGUGCAGAGGCGGUGACGCCGGGCUGCGGACGCCGGGCCUGAGCGGGGAGGGGCCCGGCCCUGCCCCCCGCCCCUGCCCCCUGCCNC